AACGAACGCUGGCGGCAUGCCUAACACAUGCAAGUCGAACGAGACCUUCGGGUCUAGUUGCGCACGGGUACUUACCGCGUGGGAACCUGCCCUUAGGUUCGGAAUAACUCCCCGCGAGGGGUGCUAAUGCCGGUUAAUGUCUUCGGACCAAAGAUUUCUCGCAUUUGGAUGGGCCCGCGUUGGAUUAGCUAGUUGGUAGGGUAAACGCCUACCCAGGCGACUAUCCAUAGCUGGUCUGAGAGGAUGAUCAGCCAGACUGGGACUGAGACACGACCCAGACUCGUACGGGAGGCAGGAGUGGGGAAUAUUGGACAAUGGGCGAAAGGCUGAGCCAGCACGGCGGCGUGAGUGAUGAAGGCGUUAGGGUUGUAUAGCGCUUUGAACCGGGAGGAUAAUGACGGUACCGGGAGAAGAAGCACCGGCUAACUCCGUG
rnacentral:rRNA from 1 species